UGAGGUAGCAAUACGAUGACGGCCAUGG
rnacentral:piRNA from 1 species